GUUUGCCUACGGGGGGCAGCAGUAGGGAAUCUUCCACAAUGGGCGAAAGCCUGAUGGAGCAACGCCGCGUGGGUGAAGAAGGUCUUCGGAUCGUAAAACCCUGUUGUUAGAGAAGAAAGUGCGUGAGAGUAACUGUUCACGUUUCGACGGUAUCUAACCAGAAAGCCACGGCUAACUACGUGCCAGCAGCCGCGGUAAUACGUAGUUGGCAAGCGUUAUCCGGAUUUAUUGGGCGUAAAGGGAAAGCCGGCGGCCUUUUCCGUCU
rnacentral:rRNA from 1 species